rnacentral:rRNA from 1 species
AGAGUUUGAUUAUGGCUCAGGAUGAACGCUGGCGGCGUGCUUAACACAUGCAAGUCGAACGGGGUUACGAGAAGCUUGCUUUUGUAAACCUAGUGGCGGACGGGUGAGUAACGCGUGAGUAACCUGCCCUUUACCGGGGGAUAACACUUAGAAAUAGGUGCUAAUACCGCAUAAGCGCACAGGACCGCAUGGCCCGGUGUGAAAAACUCCGGUGGUAAAGGAUGGACUCGCGUCUGAUUAGCCAGUUGGCAGGGUAACGGCCUACCAAAGCGACGAUCAGUAGCCGGCCUGAGAGGGUGAACGGCCACAUUGGGACUGAGACACGGCCCAAACUCCUACGGGAGGCAGCAGUGGGGGAUAUUGCACAAUGGGGGAAACCCUGAUGCAGCCGACGCCGCGUGAGUGAAGAAGUAUUUCGGUAUGUAAAGCUCUAUCAGCAGGGAAGAAAAUGACGGUACCUGACUAAGAAGCCCCGGCUAACUACGUGCCAGCAGCAGC